GACGAACGCUGGCGGCGUGCUUAACACAUGCAAGUCGAACGGAAAGGCCCUGCUUUUGUGGGGUGCUCGAGUGGCGAACGGGUGAGUAACACGUGAGUAACCUGCCCUUGACUUUGGGAUAACUUCAGGAAACUGGGGCUAAUACCGGAUAGGAGCUCCUGCUGCAUGGUGGGGGUUGGAAAGUUUCGGCGGGUGGGGAUGGACUCGCGGCUUAUCAGCUUGUUGGUGGGGUAGUGGCUUACCAAGGCUUUGACGGGUAGCCGGCCUGAGAGGGUGACCGGCCACAUUGGGACUGAGAUACGGCCCAGACUCCUACGGGAGGCAGAAGUGGGGAAUCUUGCACAGUGGGCGGAAGCCUGAUGCAGCAACGCCGCGUGCGGGAUGACGGCCUUCGGGUUGUAAACCGCUUUCGCCUGUGACGAAGCGUGAGUGACGGUAAUGGGUAAAGAAGCACCGGCUAACUACGUG
rnacentral:rRNA from 1 species